rnacentral:rRNA from 1 species
UGCUGUGAGCUCGAUGAGUAGGGCGGGACACGUGGUAUCCUGUCUGAAUAUGGGGGGACCAUCCUCCAAGGCUAAAUACUCCUGACUGACCGAUAGUGAACCAGUACCGUGAGGGAAAGGCGAAAAGAACCCCGGCGAGGGGAGUGAAAAAGAACCUGAAACCGUGUACGUACAAGCAGUGGGAGCACAGGUUUACCUGUGUGACUGCGUACCUUUUGUAUAAUGGGUCAGCGACUUAUAUUCUGUAGCAAGGUUAACCGUAUAGGGGAGCCGGAGGGAAACCGAGUCUUAAUUGGGCGUUAAGUUGCAGGGUAUAGACCCGAAACCCGGUGAUCUAGCCAUGGGCAGGUUGAAGGUUGGGUAACACUAACUGGAGGACCGAACCGACUAAUGUUGAAAAAUUAGCGGAUGACCUGUGGCUGGGGGUGAAAGGCCAAUCAAACCGGGAGAUAGCUGGUUCUCCCCGAAAGCUAUUUAGGUAGCGCCUCGUGAAUUCAUCUCCGGGGGUAGAGCACUGUUUCGGCUAGGGGGCCAUCCCGGCUUACCAACCCGAUGCAAACUGCGAAUACCGGAGAAUGUUAUCACGGGAGACACACGGCGGGUGCUAACGUCCGUCGUGAAGAGGGAAACAACCCAGACCGCCAGCUAAGGUCCCAAAGUCAUGGUUAAGUGGGAAACGAUGUGGGAAGGCCCAGACAGCCAGGAUGUUGGCUUAGAAGCAGCCAUCAUUUAAAGAAAGCGUAAUAGCUCACUGGUCGAGUCGGCCUGCGCGGAAGAUGUAACGGGGCUAAACCAUG